rnacentral:rRNA from 1 species
CGAAAGCCUGACGGAGCAACGCCGCGUGAGGGAGGAAGGCUCUUGGGUUGUAAACCUCUUUUCUCAGGGAAGAAAACUGACGGUACCUGAGGAAUAAGCAUCGGCUAACUCCGUGCCAGCAGCCGCGGUAAUACGGAGGAUGCAAGCGUUAUCCGGAAUUAUUGGGCGUAAAGCGUCCGCAGGUGGCUUUUCAAGUCUGCUGUCAAAGCGUGGAGCUUAACUCCAUAUAGGCGGUGGAAACUGAAAGACUAGAGGCCGGUAGGGGUAGUGGGAAUUCCCAGUGUAGCGGUGAAAUGCGUAGAGAUUGGGAAGAACAUCGGUGGCGAAAGCGCACUACUGGGCUGGACCUGACACUGAGGGACGAAAGCUA